rnacentral:rRNA from 1 species
GUGUGACUGCGUACCUUUUGUAUAAUGGGUCAGCGACUUAUAUUCUGUAGCAAGGUUAACCGAAUAGGGGAGCCGAAGGGAAACCGAGUCUUAACUGGGCGUUAAGUUGCAGGGUAUAGACCCGAAACCCGGUGAUCUAGCCAUGGGCAGGUUGAAGGUUGGGUAACACUAACUGGAGGACCGAACCGACUAAUGUUGAAAAAUUAGCGGAUGACUUGUGGCUGGGGGUGAAAGGCCAAUCAAACCGGGAGAUAGCUGGUUCUCCCCGAAAGCUAUUUAGGUAGCGCCUCGUGAAUUCAUCUCCGGGGGUAGAGCACUGUUUCGGCAAGGGGGUCAUCCCGACUUACCAACCCGAUGCAAACUGCGAAUACCGGAGAAUGUUAUCACGGGAGACACACGGCGGGUGCUAACGUCCGUCGUGAAGAGGGAAACAACCCAGACCGCCAGCUAAGGUCCCAAAGUCAUGGUUAAGUGGGAAACGAUGUGGGAAGGCCCAGACAGCCAGGAUGUUGGCUUAGAAGCAGCCAUCAUUUAAAGAAAGCGUAAUAGCUCACUGGUCGAGUCGGCCUGCGCGGAAGAUGUAACGGGGCUAAACCAUGCACCGAAGCUGCGGCAGCGACGCUUAUGCGUUGUUGGGUAGGGGAGCGUUCUGUAAGCCUGCGAAGGUGUGCUGUGAGGCAUGCUGGAGGUAUCAGAAGUGCGAAUGCUGACAUAAGUAACGAUAAAGCGGGUGAAAAGCCCGCUCGCCGGAAGACCAAGGGUUCCUGUCCAACGUUAAUCGGGGCAGGGUGAGUCGACCCCUAAGGCGAGGCCGAAAGGCGUAGUCGAUGGGAAACAGGUUAAUAUUCCUGUACUUGGUGUUACUGCGAAGGGGGGACGGAGAAGGCUAUGUUGGCCGGGCGACGGUUGUCCCGGUUUAAGCGUGUAGGCUGGUUUUCCAGGCAAAUCCGGAAAAUCAAGGCUGAGGCGUGAUGACGAGGCACUACGGUGCUGAAGCAACAAAUGCCCUGCUUCCAGGAAAAGCCUCUAAGCAUCAGGUAACAUCAAAUCGUACCCCAAACCGACACAGGUGGUCAGGUAGAGAAUACCAAGGCGCUUGAGAGAACUCGGGUGAAGGAACUAGGCAAAAUGGUGCCGUAACUUCGGGAGAAGGCACGCUGAUAUGUAGGUGAAGUCCCUCGCGGAUGGAGCUGAAAUCAGUCGAAGAUACCAGCUGGCUGCAACUGUUUAUUAAAAACACAGCACUGUGCAAACACGAAAGUGGACGUAUACGGUGUGACGCCUGCCCGGUGCCGGAAGGUUAAUUGAUGGGGUCAGCGCAAGCGAAGCUCUUGAUCGAAGCCCCGGUAAACGGCGGCCGUAACUAUAACGGUCCUAAGGUAGCGAAAUUCCUUGUCGGGUAAGUUCCGACCUGCACGAAUGGCGUAAUGAUGGCCAGGCUGUCUCCACCCGAGACUCAGUGAAAUUGAACUCGCUGUGAAGAUGCAGUGUACCCGCGGCAAGACGGAAAGACCCCGUGAACCUUUACUAUAGCUUGACACUGAACAUUGAGCCUUGAUGUGUAGGAUAGGUGGGAGGCUUUGAAGUGUGGACGCCAGUCUGCAUGGAGCCGACCUUGAAAUACCACCCUUUAAUGUUUGAUGUUCUAACGUUGACCCGUAAUCCGGGUUGCGGACAGUGUCUGGUGGGUAGUUUGACUGGGGCGGUCUCCUCCUAAAGAGUAACGGAGGAGCACGAAGGUUGGCUAAUCCUGGUCGGACAUCAGGAGGUUAGUGCAAUGGCAUAAGCCAGCUUGACUGCGAGCGUGACGGCGCGAGCAGGUGCGAAAGCAGGUCAUAGUGAUCCGGUGGUUCUGAAUGGAAGGGCCAUCGCUCAACGGAUAAAAGGUACUCCGGGGAUAACAGGCUGAUACCGCCCAAGAGUUCAUAUCGACGGCGGUGUUUGGCACCUCGAUGUCGGCUCAUCACAUCCUGGGGCUGAAGUAGGUCCCAAGGGUAUGGCUGUUCGCCAUUUAAAGUGGUACGCGAGCUGGGUUUAGAACGUCGUGAGACAGUUCGGUCCCUAUCUGCCGUGGGCGCUGGAGAACUGAGGGGGGCUGCUCCUAGUACGAGAGGACCGGAGUGGACGCAUCACUGGUGUUCGGGUUGUCAUGCCAAUGGCACUGCCCGGUAGCUAAAUGCGGAAGAGAUAAGUGCUGAAAGCAUCUAAGCACGAAACUUGCCCCGAGAUGAGUUCUCCCUGACUCCUUGA